GACAGAGGAGGCAAGCGUUGUCCGGACUUACUGGGCGUAAAGCGUCCGCAGGUGGUCGUGCAAGUGCCGUGUGAAAGCGCUCGGCUUAACUGAGCGAGGCCAUGGCAGACUGCUCGACUCGAGACCGGGAGAGGUCGGUGGAAUUGCCGGUGUAGUGGUGAAAUGCGUAGAUAUCGUAAGGAAGACCAGUGGCGAAGGCGGGUCUCUGGACAGUUCCUGACGCUGAGGCACGAAGGCCAGGGGAGCAAACGGG
rnacentral:rRNA from 1 species